rnacentral:tRNA from 2 species
AAAGAAUUAGUUAAUCUAUAACAUAAAUAUGUCAAAUUUAAAUUAUUAUAUAAAUAAUAUAAUAUUCUUUU